AUACGGAGGAUCCGAGCGUUAUCCGGAUUUAUUGGGUUUAAAGGGAGCGUAGGUGGAUUGUUAAGUCAGUUGUGAAAGUUUGCGGCUCAACCGUAAAAUUGCAGUUGAAACUGGCAGUCUUGAGUACAGUAGAGGUGGGCGGAAUUCGUGGUGUAGCGGUGAAAUGCUUAGAUAUCACGAAGAACUCCGAUUGCGAAGGCAGCUCACUAGACUGUUACUGACACUGAUGCUCGAAAGUGUGGGUAUCAAACAGUAUUAGAUACCCUGGUAGUCCACACAGUAAACGAUGAAUACUCGCUGUUUGCGAUAUACAGUAAGCGGCCAAGCGAAAGCAUUAAGUAUUCCACCUGGGGAGUACGCCGGCAACGGUGAAACUCAAAGGAAUUGACGGGG
rnacentral:rRNA from 1 species